GCCAGUCUUCUCUACACACCUCUCUAUGCCGUCUCUUCUGGCGGAAACAGCAAACGGAGCAGAACCAGAAUAUGUUCAAACGGUUCCUGUUCCACUACUCAAAGUCCCAGAACUCCCUAGGCUCCAUGCAGAGAGAUUCGAACUCUGUUCAUCCACUGAUGCG